CGUAGGGGGCCUGCGGAGGGAUCAUUACACAAAUAUGAAGGCGGGCUGGAAUCUCUCGGGGUUACAGCCUUGCUGAAUUAUUCACCCUUGUCUUUUGCGUACUUCUUGUUUCCUUGGUGGGUUCGCCCACCACUAGGACAAACAUAAACCUUUUGUAAUUGCAAUCAGCGUCAGUAACAAAUUAAUAAUUACAACUUUCAACAACGGAUCUCUUGGUUCUGGCAUCGAUGAAGAACGCAGCGAAAUGCGAUAAGUAGUGUGAAUUGCAGAAUUCAGUGAAUCAUCGAAUCUUUGAACGCACAUUGCGCCCUUUGGUAUUCCAAAGGGCAUGCCUGUUCGAGCGUCAUUUGUACCCUCAAGCUUUGCUUGGUGUUGGGCGUCUUGUCUCUAGCUUUGCUGGAGACUCGCCUUAAAGUAAUUGGCAGCCGGCCUACUGGUUUCGGAGCGCAGCACAAGUCGCACUCUCUAUCAGCAAAGGUCUAGCAUCCAUUAAGCCUUUUUUCAACUUUUGACCUCGGAUCAGGUAG
rnacentral:rRNA from 1 species